CGGGAGUAAUGUCUGGGAAACUGCCUGAUGGAGGGGGAUAACUACUGGAAACGGUAGCUAAUACCGCAUAACGUCGCAAGACCAAAGAGGGGGACCGUUCGGGCCUCAUGCCAUCAGAUGUGCCCAGAUGGGAUUAGCUAGUAGGUGGGGUAACGGCUCACCUAGGCGACGAUCCCUAGCUGGUCUGAGAGGAUGACCAGCCACACUGGAACUGAGACACGGUCCAG
rnacentral:rRNA from 1 species